rnacentral:rRNA from 1 species
GACGAACGCUGUCGGCGUGCUUAACACAUGCAAGUCGAACGGAAAGGCCCUGCUUUUGUGGGGUGCUCGAGUGGCGAACGGGUGAGUAACACGUGAGUAACCUGCCCUUGACUUUGGGAUAACUUCAGGAAACUGGGGCUAAUACCGGAUAGGAGCUCCUGCUGCAUGGUGGGGGUUGGAAAGUUUCGGCGGUUGGGGAUGGACUCGCGGCUUAUCAGCUUGUUGGUGGGGUAGUGGCUUACCAGGGCUUUGACGGGUAGCCGGCCUGAGAGGGUGACCGGCCACAUUGGGACUGAGAUACGGCCCAGACUCCUACGGGAGGCAGCAGUGGGGAAUAUUGCACAAUGGGCGGAAGCCUGAUGCAGCAACGCCGCGUGCGGGAUGACGGCCUUCGGGCUGUAAACCGCUUUCGCCUGUGACGAAGCGUGAGUGACGGUAAUGGGUAAAGAAGCACCGGCCAACUACGUGCCAGCAGCCGCGGUGAUACGUAGGGUGCGAGCGUUGUCCGGAUUUAUUGGGCGUAAAGGGCUCGUAGGUGGUUGAUCGCGUCGGAAGUGUAAUCUUGGGGCUUAACCCUGAGCGUGCUUUCGAUACGGGUUGACUUGAGGAAGGUAGGGGAGAAUGGAAUUCCUGGUGGAGCGGUGGAAUGCGCAGAUAUCAGGAGGAACACCAGUGGCGAAGGCGGUUCUCUGGGCCUUUCCUGACGCUGAGGAGCGAAAGCGUGGGGAGCGAACAGGCUUAGAUACCCUGGUAGUCCACGCUGUAAACGGUGGGUACUAGGUGUGGGGUCCAUUUCACGGGUUCCGUGCCGUAGCUAACGCUUUAAGUACCCCGCCUGGGGAGUACGGCCGCAAGGCUAAAACUCAAAGGAAUUGACGGGGCCCCGCACAAGCGGCGGAGCAUGCGGAUUAAUUCGAUGCAACGCGUAGAACCUUACCUGGGUUUGACAUGGAUCGGGAGUGCUCAGAGAUGGGUGUGCCUCUUUUGGGGUCGGUUCACAGGUGGUGCAUGCCUGUCGUCAGCUCGUGUCGUGAGAUGUUGGGUUAAGUCCCGCAACGAGCGCAACCCUUGUUCACUGUUGCCAGCACGUUAUGGUGGGGACUCAGUGGAGACCGCCGGGGUCAACUCGGAGGAAGGUGGGGAUGACGUCAAGUCAUCAUGCCCCUUAUGUCCAGGGCUUCACGCAUGCUACAAUGGCUGGUACAGAGAGUGGCGAGCCUGUGAGGGUGAGCGAAUCUCGGAAAGCCGGUCUCAGUUCGGAUUGGGGUCUGCAACUCGACCUCAUGAAGUCGGAGUCGCUAGUAAUCGCAGAUCAGCAACGCUGCGGUGAAUACGUUCCCGGGGCU